CGUGAAAUUCCGUCGGAAUCUGGGAGGACCAUCUCCUAAGGCUAAAUACUCUCUAGUGACCGAUAGUGAACCAGUACCGUGAGGGAAAGGUGAAAAGUACCCCGGAAGGGGAGUGAAAGAGAACUUGAAACCGUGUGCUUACAAGUAGUCAGAGCCCGUUAAUGGGUGAUGGCGUGCCUUUUGUAGAAUGAACCGGCGAGUUACGAUCUGAUGCAAGGUUAAGCAGAAAAUGUGGAGCCGUAGCGAAAGCGAGUCUGAAUAGGGCGAAUGAGUAUUUGGUCGUAGACCCGAAACCAGGUGAUCUACCCUUGGUCAGGUUGAAGUUCAGGUAACACUGAAUGGAGGACCGAACCGACUUACGUUGAAAAGUGAGCGGAUGAACUGAGGGUAGCGGAGAAAUUCCAAUCGAACUUGGAGAUAGCUGGUUCUCUCCGAAAUAGCUUUAGGGCUAGCCUCAAGUGAUGAUUAUUGGAGGUAGAGCACUGUUUGGACGAGGGGCCCCUCUCGGGUUACCGAAUUCAGACAAACUCCGAAUGCCAAAUAAUUUAACUUGGGAGUCAGAAUGUGGGUGAUAAGGUCCAUAUUCGAAAGGGAAACAGCCCAGACCACCAGCUAAGGUCCCAAAAUAUAUGUUAAGUGGAAAAGGAUGUGGCGUUGCCCAGACAACUAGGAUGUUGGCUUAGAAGCAGCCAUCAUUUAAAGAGUGCGUAAUAGCUCACUAGUCGAGUGACACUGCGCCGAAAAUGUACCGGGGCUAAACAUAU
rnacentral:rRNA from 1 species